rnacentral:lncRNA from 1 species
ACCCUCUUCUCUCUUAAAUGCUCUCAAACCCUAAUCGCCACCUACACAUUUUCGACCUCAAAUCCACAAGAAUCCGUGGCUUCUCUAGCCAUGGACGACCUAUACUCACCUCCCGCUAUUCUCACAUGCCUGAUUUCUGAAGAUUUGAGGCCAGUUUUCGUGGCAUGCACCCAGACCUUCGUCGAUCCAAGGUUUUCCGCCAUUUCCGGCCAUGCUCCAGCGUAUCUUAGCCUCCUGAGCCUGGUUCCGACAUUAUCAACUCAGAUAUGAUCUUGCAUCUUCCAAGCCUUUCUCAUCCUUUAGGGUUCUCAGAAACCCUAGCCUAUUCAAGGUACUUUUUCGUUUAUUCGUUUAGAUCUGUGCUAGAUCUAUGUUGUGUGUGAUGUUUAAAACAUUUUCCCCAAAUUUCCUUUUUCAAAACCCUUUGAUUUUAAAUUUGGGUUUCUGAGUAUGACUUUUAAAUGUCUGUUCGAUUCAUCUGCCUAUCAUCUCUAGGUUUAAUUGAUGAUUUAAAACCCUAAUUUUUGAGAUUUGUUUGAUUUUUCUAAGUCUACACGAUAGUAUUGUUGAUUUACUGCUUAGUGGUGAAAACCUUAACUUUCGGGGUUUAUUUGAGACUCUGAGAUUGUUUAUGUGUUUAAUUGCUUAUCUUCUCUAAGCCUGACUAAUUUUUAAACCCUAAUUCUUUGGCGUCUAUUUUAGUUCUUGAAAUCCUUCGUCUGUUUGAAAUUACUCAAUCUGAUUCCUUUGCUUCAACAUCUCUGUUCCUUUAUGUGAUUUCUUUUGGUUCUGAGUUCUUAUUAAUUGUCAAACUCGACUAUGAUUUUCACUCGACUCCUUGCAUGCUUCUGGUUCUUUCUCUGUCACUAAAUCAC